UGAUUGUUGUUAUUUGGCCAAUAA
rnacentral:siRNA from 1 species